AAGUGUUCCAUUAGCCACACGGAACUAUGUUAUGCUUGGAUCCACCUUCAUUGCCUAGUUUCAUUUCUGCUGAACUGACUGGCAAGAAGCCCAGUGCCUCAUGGUGUCAAAUAUUCUUGUACACCUCUUCGGGCUGGGCUUCCUAGAUGGACUACAUUUCCCAGGAUGAAUCACUUCUUGGUGAAGGGAGUGCUUACUUCUGAGUCCAGUCCAUAAAGAAGAAUAAGGAUGUGAGAUACUCUGGAGCUGAAGAAAUAUGCCGUUCAUUUGCUGCUUCGGCGAGUCCACCAAAACAGAGGAAAGUACAGGGUUAAAUGCAAGUGCUCCCUCACAUUCAGGUGUUCACCUUAAAUAAACUGAUCAGAUUGCUG